CAAUUGUUUUAUAGGCUCCAGGUGGAUGCCUAGGCGAUAAGAGGCGAUGAAGGACGUGGCAUAGCUGCGAUAAGCUUCGGGGAGCGGUAAGCGCGCUUUGAUCCGGAGAUCUCCGAAUGGGGAAACCCGACCAGUGUAACAACUGGCCAUUGCAUACUGAAUACAUAGGUAUGCAAAGUGAACCUGCUGAAUUGAAACAUCUUAGUACGCAGAGGAAAAGAAAACGAAGUGAUUCCGUCAGUAGUGGCGAACGAAAGCGGAACAGCCCAAACCGAAGGGAUUUAUCCUUUCGGGGUUGUAGGACCCUGUCAUGGAAUUUGUGACGAUAGUAAAACGCUCUGGAAAGUGCGGCCAUAGAAGGUGAUAGCCCUGUAGACGAAAUCCGAUCGAAUCCUAAGGAGUUCCUGAGUAACACGGCACACGUGAAACGUCGUGUGAAUCUACGCAGACCACUGCGUAAGGCUAAAUACUACUUAUCGACCGAUAGCUUACUAGUACCGCGAGGGAAAGGUGAAAAGUACCCCUGUUAGGGGAGUUAAAAGUACCUGAAACCUGUUGCCUACAAGCUGUCAGAGCCUCCUCGUGAGGUGAUGGCGUACCUUUUGCAUAAUGGGCCCGGGAGUUAUUGUGUGCGGCCAGCUUAAGUGUCUUAGGCACGGAGGCGAAGCGAAAGCAAGUCUGAAAUGGGCGUCAGUCGCAUGCAACAGACCCGAAACGGAUGUGAUCUAUCCAUGAGCAGGUUGAAACGCGGGUAACACCGCGUGGAGGACCGAACCAGUCACCCUUGAGAAGGUGUUGGAUGACUUGUGGAUAGGAGCGAAAGACUAAUCAAACACCGUAAUAGCUGGUUCUUUCCGAAAUAUAUUUAGGUAUAGCGUCGUGUAUAAACUUUGGGGGUAGAGCACUGAAAAGGCUAGGGGACACACCAGUCUACCAACCCUUAUCAAACUCCGAAUACCAAAGUGGUAAGCACGGCAGUCAGACGGCGGGGGAUAAGCUCCGUCGUCAAAAGGGAAACAGCCCUUGACCAUCAGUUAAGGUCCCAAAUCGAACACUAAGUGGAAAAGGAUGUGGACUUACAAAGACAGUGGGGAUGUUGGCUUAGAAGCAGCCAUCAUUUAAACAAAGCGUAAUAGCUGACCCAUCGAGUGAGUCCGCGCCGAAAAUGAUCGGGACUCAAGUGUUCAACCGAAACUAUGGACUCGAAAGAGUGGUAGGAAAGCGUUCCAACAGCAUCGAAGCAGAAGCGGUAAGCGACUGUGGAGCGGUUGGAAGUGAUAAUCCGGGCAUGAGUAACGAUAAAUACGAUUAAAAUUCGUAUCGCCGUAAGGAUAAGGUUUCCUGGGGAAGGCUCGUCCUCCCAGGGUUAGUCGGGAGCUAAGGCGAGGCCGGAAGGCGUAGUCGAUGCACACAAGGUUAAUAUUCCUUGACCGGCUUGUGACUAUCCUCGUAGUGCGGAGAUGUCUAGUGGUAUACGGCUUUGAUCUGCCAGAGCCUUGGACUACGGUCCUUGGCGCAACCAUGAACCAGCUUCCAAGAAAAGCUACGAGAUUACUACACAGGUUGCCCGUACCGUAAACCGACACAGGUAUCCGGGAUGAAUAUUCUAAGGCGCGUGGGUUAACUCUCUCUAAGGAACUCGACAAAUUGGCCCCGUAUCUUCGGUAGAAGGGGUGCCCUCUUUGUAGGGUCUCAGUAAAGUGGUAGAACCGACUGUUUAGCAAAAACACAGCUCUCUGCAAAGUCGUAAGACGACGUAUAGGGAGUGACAUGUGACCAAUGCGGAAAGGUGAACGACCCUUGUUAACGCUUGGGUUUUAAGCCCCCGUGAAUGUCGGCCGUAACUAUAACGGUCCUAAGGUAGCGAAAUUCCUUGUCGGGCAAGUUCCGACCUGCACGAAUCAUGUAACGAGUUCUACAUUGUCUCGGAGAGACGCCCAGUGAAAUUGUAGUCGCGGUAAAGAUGCCGCGUUCCCGCAGCAGGACGGAAAGACCCUAUGCACCUUCACUGUAAGCUGGUAUUGGCAACUGAUUUACGUUGCGUAGGAUAGGUGGGAGGCUUUGAAGUUGGCCCUCAGGGACCGAUGGAGCCAUUGGUGAAAUACCACUCUAUGUUGAUUAGUUGUCUAACCCUCUGCCAUUAGCUGGCGGGGGAACAGUGCUAGCAGGUCAGUUUGACUGGGGCGGUCUCCUCCCAAAUUGUAACGGAGGAUUGCGAUGGUUCCCUCAGCCUGGUCGGUAAUCAGGCUUUAGAGCAUAUAGGUAUAAGGGAGCUUUACUGUGAGACUCACAAGUCGAGCAGUUACGAAAGUAGGCCUAAGUGAUCCGGUACUUGAAAGUGGAAUCGGUAUCGCUUAAAGGAUAAAAGGUACGCUAGGGAUAACAGGCUGAUCACGUCCAAGCGUUCAUAGCGACGACGUGGUUUGGCACCUCGAUGUCGGCUCAUCACAUCCUGGGGCUGGAGAAGGUCCCAAGGGUUCGGCUGUUCGCCGAUUAAAGUGGUACGCGAGCUGGGUUCAAAACGUCGUGAGACAGUUUGGUCCUCUAUCCGCUGUGGGCGUUGGAGAUUUGAGGGGUUCAUUUUCUAGUACGAGAGGACCGAAAAUGACGUGCCUCUGGUGUUCCGGUUAUUGCAUCAGCAGUAGCGCCGGGUAGCUAUGCACGGAAUGGAUAAGCGCUGAAAGCAUCUAAGCGCCAAGCCACUCCCAAGAUAAGAUCUCCCUUAAGGGUCGUGGAAGACCACCACGUUGAUAGGCCGGAUGUGUAAGCGCAGUAAUGCGUUGAGCUUACCGGUACUAAUUACCCUUCAGAAUUGUUUU
rnacentral:rRNA from 1 species